UACAGAGGUGGCAAGCGUUGUUCGGAAUUACUGGGCGUAAAGGGCGCGUAGGCGGCCAUCGUAAGUCAGACGUGAAAUCCCCCGGCUUAACCUGGGAACUGCGUCUGAUACUGGAAGGCUUGAGUAUGGGAGAGGGAUGUAGAAUUCCAGGUGUAGCGGUGAAAUGUGUAGAUAUCUGGAGGAACACCGGUGGCGAAGGCGGCAUCCUGAACCGGUAUUGACACUGAGGCGCGAAAGCCAGGGGAGCAAACGGG
rnacentral:rRNA from 1 species